AUACGGAGGAUCCGAGCGUUAUCCGGAUUUAUUGGGUUUAAAGGGAGCGUAGGUGGACAGUUAAGUCAGUUGUGAAAGUUUGCGGCUCAACCGUAAAAUUGCAGUUGAUACUGGUUGUCUUGAGUACAGUAGAGGUGGGCGGAAUUCGUGGUGUAGCGGUGAAAUGCUUAGAUAUCACGAAGAACUCCGAUUGCGAAGGCAGCUCACUGGACUGCAACUGACACUGAUGCUCGAAAGUGUGGGUAUCAAACAGGAUUAGAUACCCUGGUAGUCCACACAGUAAACGAUGACUACUCGCUGUUUGCGAUAUACAGUAAGCGGCCAAGCGAAAGCAUUAAGUAUUCCACCUGGGGAGUACGCCGGCAACGGUGAAACUCAAAGGAAUUGACGGGG
rnacentral:rRNA from 1 species